AUUUAAAUUUAUGCAUUAACAACCAAAUAAUAAUGACUAGAUAUUUCUUAUGAAAUAAUAGUUAUUAUGUGUACUCCUCAAAAGUUGUAUUGGAAUAAUUUGUUUUUAAAACAAAGCUGGACAUUAAAUUCAAUUGUGAUUGAUUUCAACCCACUGAUACAAGGGGCAUGCUUGCAAGUAUAGCAGCCAAAAAAAAACUAAAUAAACAAUAACCAUACUUUUAGACUUAGAUCCUCUGUUUGGUGCAUUGAGUGGCAAGCUGUCUCCAAAAAGAUCUGUCUGAAGUCUGUUCACCCAUAUUUAUAGAAAUAUAAAAAUAUUCUGACUUCUAGAAAAGAUAAAAAAAUGGAAAGGCUAACUAAACUUUGACAAUGUAAUGGAAAAAAAUCAAUGUUGAACCAUCCUAAUAGUUUGUGAUGAGAAAUGUCAUCAGCCACCUUGGCAGCAGUACCAAAAAAACUGCCAAGCCAAAUGUUAGGCACUGUCAUUUUUGUCUAGUAAAUGAUGUUUCACAGCAAUACAGUGCAGCCCUUCAUCAGAACAAUGUUGCCUGAGUACUGAAACUUAAAUAAGUUUAGAAACCUUUGAAAGCAUCUUGUCAAAUUACAACCAAUACCUUCUGAAGAACUUUAUAAAAUGGUACUCAAAACAGCUUAGUUUUCUCUUUUAGUGAGUGCUGACAAAACAUUAAUGAGGAAGUGGACUCAAGAUAAGGAUACCAUCAUUAUAUUACAUUUAACUUAUGCAUUACACUUUUUAUAUUUUAAAUUUUGCAUUUUAAAAUGUAAUUUUUGCUGCAAUAUUUUAUCAACUUUUUUUUUUUAGAUCAAAGGAAUGUACAUGCUGCUGAUAUAGAAAAAGUUUCUGACUGCUUACAGAUCAGUGUUCUUAGUUCUGCUAUUGAUUUACUAUUGCAUAAUAAAUAAACAUGUAAUGAUCAAUCACAUUUUUAUACCAAGUUCAUCUAAUGAUUUACACAGCAUAUUAUCAGCAUUCACAGUUCAUCUAAUGAUCUACAUAUGAAGCAGCACCAUGCAGAGCUAACAUCACCUACUGAAGAGAGUUUCCAUCAUGCUUUAGCAACAAUCCAAAAACAAAAUGAAAAAGUGGUUUCUUUGUUUGGGACAAGUCCUGAAAGGCCUUCAGAAUCUGGGAGCACACUAUUGUUAACAAGCAGUGUGUCAUAUGACCAGCACAAUGACCAACAGCCUUUACUUUUCGAACCAAAGUCAGGACACUGUUCAAAGAUAUUUUAAGAUGUUGGCCUCACAUCUUGACACUUGUUAGAGUGUAAAGAUUUGACUUAACAAAUGUUAAAAUAAAAAGAGCACAUUGUGGAGAGUUGACCGUCAUUAAAAAAUGAUUGUCAGACUUCUGCUAGAUGUUGAUCUUUUCAUCACAACACCAAUAACUUCUUCUUGGAGUCAAGUAACAGUGUAUAUCACCUGAAAAAGCUAUUUAAAUUCCCUUAAAGAUCACAAAUUAAUGCUGAUGACAUAAAGCACAUUUAUCCACGAAAUCUUAUGAACACAUAAUAUUAUGUUGUACAACUAAAUAGUGGUGUCUGGAAAUUUAGGCAGUGUGUAUGUAGUGUAUAUGCUUAUUUAUUAUUUAUCUGUUUCUUAAACAUAGGCUUAUGUUCCCCGCGCUACCCAAACUAUAAUUCGGAGUGUGAAACAUAACAGAUUAACAGGUGCUAUAUUAUGUUUCGUUUAACAAAGAUUUUCUUACACUCUACAUAUUCCUCCCCCCCCCCCGAGAGGUGGGCCAGGGGUAGUGGUAAGUAUUUAAAUCACGGACUGAGAAGACCUAACGGCGAGCGAGAAAGGGGUUACGUCGUCACUAGAUCUGUGUCAGCUCAAUACAAUUUUUUCUCUUCGUGGUGUAGUCUUAAUCAUAAACAGAUAAAAAUUAAAGUUUUAAGAUACUGUUAAUCUUCUAUAAUAAAAUGCUUAUUUCUUAUAGUAAUACGUUUCCCGUACUAGAUCUUUAUAAUUUAUUGUCAUUGCUCUAUAUAGUAUAGAUCACUUACUCAUAAUGCAUACUUUUGUUGAAAAGAAAAAUAAUUAAACAUAUCGUGUAGAUAUAGAUGCGUGUUUCAUUAUGUUCGUGUAUAUUUUUGUUUUAUUUUAUCAAUAUUUCGCUUUGCUUGGUGACUUAAUAGAUAAAAUAUAAAUCUAAU